UAAUACUGCAUCAAAAAGUGCAUUAAAUCGUAAAUUUGAUUCGACUUGUGAACCAAAUAGUGAGAAAGCAUUUGAAAAACGUGUUUUGAGAGAAGUACACAUACUCAAUUUAAAAGUGGAUGAUAUUUCUGAAACAGUUAAUGCUCUACUGAAAGCUACAGCAGAUGAAAAAUCAUCACAAAAAUCAUUUACGUGUAAUAAUAAUGUUCCUGAUAUUAUUCAAUCAUUUCCUGUAAAUGAAGAUUCCUUAGCUCGAUUAGAAGAUUGGCUAAUGAAUUCUGAAGAAAAUAAAACAAUAUUGGCUAAAAAUUUAAGUCGUAUAGGAGGAUGCAACGUUAAAGAAGUUGUUCGGCGGAUUAUGUAUCACGUUUUUACUAACGAAGUUGGUAUGGCUUAUUCAUGGGAAGGAGUUAAAAAAAAGAAAAUUUUUUAAAAUUUAAUUGUGGCAUCGAGUAUUCUCUCUGCUGUACGACUUAACAAGAAGACUCAAGAGGCUACAGAUUCGGAAAUAAUAUGUUUCAUAAAAUCAUGGCUAGUGAGAAGCAAAGAUCGUUUCAAUAAUAAUAAUAAAAAUAAAAAUAUAACACAAACAGAUGAAAGAACUCCACAAACAGAUGAAAGAUCUCCACA